UACGUAGGGUGCGAGCGUUGUCCGGAAUUAUUGGGCGUAAAGAGCUUGUAGGCGGUUUGUCGCGUCUGCUGUGAAAAUCCGGGGCUCAACCCCGGACUUGCAGUGGGUACGGGCAGACUGGAGUGUGGUAGGGGAGUCUGGAAUUCCUGGUGUAGCGGUGGAAUGCGCAGAUAUCGGGAAGAACACCCGUGGCGAAGGCGGCACUCUGGGCCAUUACUGACGCUGAGGAGCGAAAGCGUGGGGAGCGAACGAGG
rnacentral:rRNA from 1 species